rnacentral:rRNA from 1 species
UUUUCUUAGUAGCGGCGAGCGAAAAGAAAUCAGUUCAGCACUAAGUCACUUUGUCUUUAUGGCAAAUGUGAGAUGCAGUGUAUGGAACGUCUUCAAUCUAGUAUGAGAAAUUAAUGAUUUAAGUCCUUCUUAAAUGAGGCCAAUUACCCAUAGAGGGUGCCAGGCCCGUAUAACGUUAAUGAUUACUAGAAGACGCUUCCGAAGAGUCGUGUUGCUUGAUAGUGCAGCACUAAGUUGGUGGUAAACUCCAUCUAAAACUAAAUAUAACCAUGAGACCGAUAGUAAACAAGUACCGUGAGGGAAAGUUGAAAAGAACUCUGAAUAGAGAGUUAAAUAGUACGUGAAACUGCUUAGAGGUUAAGCCCGAUGAACCUGAAUAUCCGUUAUGGAAAAUUCAUCAUUAGAAUUGUAAUAUCUUUAAAAAAAUAUUAUAAUGAUAGUGUGCAUUUUUUCCAUAUAAGGACAUUGUAAUCUAUUAACAUAUAUGAAUAUAUUUAUGAAAAAUUCAUAAACUUUUUAGUUUAUUCAAAUUAUUUUGCUUGCAUUAUAACAUAGAAUAAAUGUUUAUGAUUUAAUAAAGUGUUGAUAGAUUUAUCAUAUAUACAAUGCUUUAAUUUUACGAAAUUAUAUAAUGGCAUAAUUAUCAAUGAUUUUUAUGUUUAUUAUAUGCAUUUGUAUGAUUAACAAUGCGAAAGAUUCAGGAUACCCUCGGGACCCGUCUUGAAACACGGACCAAGGAGUCUAACAUAUAUGCAAGUCAUUGAGAUUUUAUAAACUUAAUGGCAUAAUUAACUUAACUAUAUUUAAUGGGAUUAGUUUUUAAACUAUAUUAUAGUUUAUUAACACAAUCCCGGGGCGUUCUAUAUAGUUAUGUAUAUUAAUAUUUAUAUUAUUU